GACAGAGGGUGCAAACGUUGCUCGGAAUCACUGGGCGUAAAGGGCGUGUAGGCGGGAAUGUAAGUCGGGCGUGAAAUCCCUAGGCUCAACCUAGGAACUGCACUCGAAACUGCGUUUCUUGAGUGCCGGAGAGGAAAGCGGAAUUCCUGGUGUAGAGGUGAAAUUCGUAGAUAUCAGGAGGAACACCGGUGGCGAAGGCGGGUCUCUGGGCCGAUACUGGACGCUGAGGAGCGAAAGCGUGGGGAGCAAACAGG
rnacentral:rRNA from 1 species